CCUCCUCAUAAUCCUUUUCAAAGGCAGCCAUGUCCUCACGGGCCUCAGAAAACUGUCCUCCAUACUCUCACUCACAUAUCAGUGAACAAAGGCAUGCUUGUCAUACAUUAGGUCAAAUUUGUGGUUCAGGUGAGCUCAGGCCUCACCAGUGGCUGUGGUGUUACUCAGCAUGCACACAGCUCACUGUUCUUUGGUGGGUCUUCACCAUGUACUGCAGUGGGAGGAUGGUAAUUAAUGCCAGCUUUAAGGCACUGGGGCACAAGUCAACAAACUAGAUGGUAUGCUUGGUCUUGAUGGUGGCAGUAGCAGUAUUGACAUCUUUGGGAAUGGUACGAUAGGCAGCAAGCCUUGUAUUUACCAUGGCGAGGGUCACAUUUCAUCCUUUGGUUGGCUGGCUCAAAGCAUACGUUGGUGAUCUCUGCUACAGAAAGCUGUUCACGGUAGGCUUUCUCAGCAGAGAUGACGGGUGUAUGUGGCCAGAGGGAAUUGGAUACAGGGAUAGGGCACCAGAUUGGUUUGGAAUUCUGCCAGAUCAACAUUCAGGGCUCCAUCAAAUCUGAGGGAAGCAGUGAUGGAGGGCACAAUUUCACCUAUCACCCUAUUUAGGUUAGUGUAGGUUGUGGACUCAAUAUCAAGGUUUCUGUGACCUUCAUAGAUGCCCUCAUUGUCUAACAUGAAGGCACAAUUAGAGUGCUCCAGAGUGGUGUGGGUAGUGAGGAUGGAGUUGUAGGGCUCAACUACAAUUGUGGAAACCUGAGGUGCUGGGUAAAUGAAGAACUCCAACUUAGACUUUUUGCCUUAACUGACAGACUUUCCAGUGAACCUGGA
rnacentral:lncRNA from 1 species